GAGUGGGGAGAAUUGAGGAAUGCGGGCUGAGGCAGGUCCGAUGAAGUGAGAAAGAACAGUCAUCACUGAAGUUCUGCCUCGCAACAGAGAUGUAUUGACUGACCAUAUGUGUGAGGAGGAGACUCCACGUAGGAAGGGUAAAUACCAGUGCUUGUGUGAAUGUUUUUUGUCUCAUGCAGCUGUGUGACCCAGUGGGUGAAUACACUUGGUUGGACCUUUUUAUUCGUCCGUGAGUUUUACUAUGUUCAUUUAGACCUAACAAUUGGCGCUGCAAGCAGGGUUCACUGCGAUUUACAACCAAACUAAAGAGUCCGAAUCAGUGAAGCAGGAGGCGGCCCCAAAAACAAGGUGUCAUGGAACAUAAGAGUGAUCAUUGUUCCAGAGGAGGGAGUGUGUCACGUCUGAUUUGAACUGGCGGAUAGGCGGAAUCAAGUGCAGGAGACAGAGGUGCUGGAGGUGACAGCUGCACAUGAAGAGCAGGAGUUAACAGAGAGCACGGGCUGAAUCCUGGAGACCACGGGCUGAAUCCUGGAGACCACGGGCUGAAUCCUGGAGACCACGGGCUGAAUCCUGGAGACCACGGGCUGAAUCCUGGAGACCACGGGCUGAAUCCUGGAGACCACGGGCUGAAUCCUGGAGACCACGGGCUGAAUCCUGGAGACCACGGGCUGAAUCCUGGAGACCACGGGCUGAAUCCUGGAGACCACGGGCUGAAUCCUGGAGACCGAGUGUACAUCAAGAUCCACCGGGGGGGUUGUUUGGACGGCAUUGGUCUGGUCCACACACAGUAUUCCUUGCAGCACCUGCAGCGGUAAAGACCACAGUCUCUCCUCGGUGGGUUCACACUUCUCACGUGAAGAGAGAUCCAGCUGCAUAAUGGGUGAGCUGGAAGUUGCCAUGAUAGAGGAAGAAUAGAUUCCACUGUAGGCAUGCAGUUGGGUUGGGUUUGGGAGCUACUUUACCCGCUAUAGUUUUUGUGUCAGUUGCUUUAAUGGUUAAUGCACCAUGUAAAAAGGAUAGAUGUUGGGGUAAUUGUACACUGGACAACAUUCUGAGGGCAUUGACGUGAAACGUAUAUACAGUGCUGAGUUACCUCAAGAGGAGGUAACGAUGAUUAGGGCUACCCCAGGUGUAUAUCAGGUGGCCAUGGAGGAAGACGGAGAUGGGGAACAAAGUGAAAAUGACAUGGCUUGGGAACACCUCUUAUAACCUGUGGCCGGAUGGGGAAGACUGGGGGAAAGCAUGAGGUUUUUUAGGGCCUUUAUUUGUUUUGGAACCCAGCAGAGAAGUAUCCCAAAGGCAUAGAGUCAGGUGAAGAGAGUGUGGGAACCGUCAUGUUAUCAAACUUCGUUUUUUUCUUUAAAUAUAUAAUUAUGCAUAGCUUAACACAUUGUUAAUACUGUUAUGUUUUGUGUUUCUUUUUGCUUUUCAAGUCUUGUGCUAUCACUCUCUUAGGAACCAGAAGCUGAAAUGGAGGAAGUCAACAGCUCCAGCGGACAUGUUAUUAUCAGUGUUCGAUGAGAAAUGGAAAUAAGAUUGUGCAUGGUGUGAUUAUAGAACAGAGACCAUAGGUAUCUGAGUUAGUAAACCUGUGGCGAAAUCCUGCACGGUGCCUUCACCGUGUGCUGCCACUUUAAGAGCGCAUCAGCAGUAGGAACGAGGAAAUAAAGAUAGCGCUUCCGGCUCUCAGAGAAGUAGCUCUCGGUUGGCGCGGCAGUUUGAUUGUGUGUGCAAUGCUGCAGAAGUCCUGUUUAUUUUCAGCGUGCUUAGUUUGUGAAGUGUUUAACUCGAUCAUCGGUGUUACCGCUCUAGGUCGUGGUUGUUAUCUUUUGGGACCGCACCAGUUAUUGCUCGCAUGGAUUAGUAGCAACAUUGCUGCGAAACUUUGACAUACAAACAAACCAUCAGACGGACAGACAGUGCAAGCCUGAAGUCAACAGCUAAGACUUUCUCUCUCUCUCUUCCCUCUAUCGCUCCAGUGCUUUUCACUGCAGCAGACUCUUUUUAAUGCGCUUCCCUUUGAUGUUCAGUGUCGCUGGACUAUUAUUGCCCUGCUAGAUGCUAUUGGGUUUACAUUUUAUUUAAAGGGAGGUUGCUUGAAAGUUAUUUGAACUGUAUUGAGGGAGUGUGGUAAUAAUGACAUGUGGCCCAGAAGAUUUUGGACAUUUUAAGGCCUUUGUUUUGUCUAUGAACACUUGGUUGGAGAUUUACUAAUCAUCUGAGUUUAAUCACAGUUCAUUUAGAACCUAACAAUCUCAAAAGGGUUCUAUCUGGAACCAAAAAGGAUUCUACCUGGAACUCAAAAGGGGUCUUCUAUGGGGACAGUCAAAGAACCCAUUUUUCUAAGAAUGUAAUACAUGAUUUGUGAUAAAGGUGAUAAAAGCAAACAUGACAGGCCUUAUUGUAUUGUUCCUUAACCUGCCUCUGGAAAACACCAUGAAGCCAUAUUUGCUUAAAUGCCAGGAAUUCAUGUUAUAAGUCAAUCAUUCUUAUUUGUAAUCAUAAUCUUCUCAGAAAAUAAAUGGAACCUUUUCUGCUUAUAGCAACUAUUAUAACAGUAAAACAUAAUAUGUCCUCUACAAGUAUUGAAAUAAUGUCUUACUUGGUGUGGUGGUCAAGUUCAAAUUGGUCGCUCCAUUCCCAUUGCCUGAAAGUAAGAGAGUCAUGUGAACACAAUAACUUUGCAAGUACAUGGUUAAGUUUGAUUCAUUGAUGUUGUGAUAUAUACUGAUCGGUAUUGUCCAGAACAACAUGUAGACAAUAUGGGGCUAUUCAUCAGUAUGGGAACAUGAUAAUGUGUAAAAACAUGGAUUAGAUGGGCUGUCAUUAAUUGAAUCCUCACAAGACGUUAUUAAAUCAAUGCAAAUGACAA